rnacentral:rRNA from 1 species
UGGGGAAUAUUCCGCAAUGGACGAAAGUCUGACGGAGCAAUGCCGCGUGAGUGAUGAAGGCUUUUGGGUCGUAAAACUCUGUCUUUUGGGACGAAAUUUCUAUGUGUUAAUACCAUGUAGGAUUGACGGUACCUUAGGAGGAAGCCCCGGCUAACUACGUGCCAGCAGCCGCGGUAAUACGUAGGGGGCGAGCGUUGUCCGGAUUUAUUGGGCGUAAAGGGCGGGUAGGCGGUUUUCUAAGUCGGAUGUGAAAACUCUGGGCUCAACCCAGCGACUGCAUCCGAAACUGGAAAGCUUGAGGGCAGGAGAGGAAAGUGGAAUUCCAAGUGUAGCGGUGAAAUGCGUAGAUAUUUGGAAGAACACCAGUGGCGAAGGCGACUUUCUGGACUGUUCCUGACGCUGAGGCGCGAAAGCCAGGGGAGCGAACG